rnacentral:rRNA from 1 species
UCGGAUUGCAGGCUGCAACCCGCCUGCAUGAAGCCGGAAUCGCUAGUAAUCGCGGAUCAGAAUGCCGCGGUGAAUACGUUCCCGGGCCUUGUACACACCGCCCGUCACACCAUGGGAGUCGGAAAUGCCCGAAGUCAGUGACCCAACCGCAAGGAGGGAGCUGCCGAAGGUGGAGCCGGUAACUGGGGUGAAGUCGUAACAAGGUAAC